CUGCAGACAGAUCUUCCUUUAUUUCUAUAAACUGUGCAAAACUACAGAUGUGUUCUCUUAGCAAAAGUGCAACUGAAAUAGUAUU